rnacentral:rRNA from 1 species
CAAUAGCGUAUAUUAAAGUUGUUGCAGUUAAAAAGCUCGUAGUUGGAUUUCUGGUCGGAAGCUCCUGUCCUCUGAUGAGCGUACAAGUGCGUCCUACCAUCCUUCUGUUAACCUUUAAGGCUUUCGCGGCUUUCUAGGGGCUCAGAUAUUUUACCUUGAGAAAAUUAGAGUGUUUCAGGCAGGCUAGCGCCGGAAUACAUUAGCAUGGAAUAAUGGAAUAGGACUUUUGCCUCUUCUGUUGGUCAUGAGGCUCGAGUAAUGAUUAAUAGGGAUAGUUGGGGGCAUUAGUACUUAACUGUCAGAGGUGAAAUUCUCGGAUUUGUUAAAGACUAACUUAUGCGAAAGCAUUUGCCAAGGAUGUUNUCAUUNA